GCGUCGUUAGUGUAACGAACAGAGCACGCAUUCCCGGAAAGAAUGAGGUGCGGGUUCUAGUCCCGGUUGACGCG